CCUACGGGGGGCAGCAGUGGGGAAUAUUGCACAAUGGGGGAAACCCUGAUGCAGCGACGCCGCGUGAGUGAAGAAGUAUUUCGGUAUGUAAAGCUCUAUCAGCAGGGAAGAAAAUGACGGUACCUGACUAAGAAGCCCCGGCUAACUACGUGCCAGCAGCCGCGGUAAUACGUAGGGGGCAAGCGUUAUCCGGAUUUACUGGGUGUAAAGGGAGCGUAGAUGGCAGCGCAGGUCUGGAGUGAAACGCGGGGACUUAACCCCGGAAAUGCUUUUGAAACUGUGCAGCUAGAGUGCAGGAGAGGUAGGUGGAAUGCCUGGUGUAGCGGUGAAAUGCGUAGAUAUUAGGAGGAACACCAGUGGCGAAGGCGGCUUACUGGACUGUAACUGACGUUGAGGCUCGAAAGCGUGGGGAGCAAACAGGAUUAGAUACCCGUGUAGUC
rnacentral:rRNA from 1 species